rnacentral:rRNA from 1 species
UACGGAGGGGGCUAGCGUUGUUCGGAAUUACUGGGCGUAAAGCGCGCGUAGGCGGACCUGCAAGUCGGGGGUGAAAGCCCGAGGCUCAACCUCGGAACUGCCUUCGAUACUGCGGGUCUCGAGUCCGGGAGAGGUAAGUGGAAUUCCGAGUGUAGAGGUGAAAUUCGUAGAUAUUCGGAAGAACACCAGUGGCGAAGGCGACUUACUGGACACAUAUUGACGCUGAGGCUCGAAAGCAUGGGGAGCAAACAGG